rnacentral:lncRNA from 1 species
AAGGUUUUUGACUAGGUGAGAGACCAGGUUCAGGUGAGUCACAAUACAACAAUUAAAGGGGUUUAUGGACCCCCAGCCCCCCAUCACUCCCUCCAGCUCCAACAGGAGAAAUAUAAACCCCUUAUGAGGGCUAACCAAUCAAACCAUAAAAUCCAAUAGCCAUACAGUUCAGCUGGAAGAAUGUUCCUUUGUUAAACAAACAAUGUGUCUGGAACACUUUUUGGUCCAUUGUUCCAUUCCAGGACAGAGACUGAAGCUAUAGAAAUAAAUUAGUGAUUUCAAUCAUGCUCAUCCUGGACUGAUCCUACUGGCACAUGGAAACUUCCUGGCUGGGGCUGAAGAAGAGAAUUAACUCUUUCAGGCAAAGUGGAAACAUGAAGUUUUAUGAGAGAGAGAAGAAACCUUUGGUGGUGCACAGGGAUUUGAAUUCAGACCUGCAUCUUGGGAAAACCAGCACUGCCCAGAAGUGAUUAAUUCCCACGAGUAUUGAGCCCUUGGCUGCAUGGAAAAUUCUUCCAGGGGCCUGGGGAAGAUGACAAGGCCUCCCAUGGCCAGAGUCCAUUUCUCUACUAUGGCAGCUGCUUGGAGGUGCUUGCAGCCUCAUUGCCAACCCACUGGCACAUUCAGGUCAAUGCAGAAUGUGCCUCCAACUUAUCACACUGGAGCACAUUAGACAAUGGAACAGACCCCUGUCUUAAGCCCUUUGGGACCCUGUCAGAAGAGGUCCUUCUACUCACAGCUCAGAGCAGAGGUUCACAUGUCAGAAUAUGUCAAGAGACUGCUUUGUCUUUAUAAAUACCUUAAUCUGAAGUUAAAUAUUCUUAGGCAACUCUGUCUUCUAGGAUUUUCCUAAAGGCACACAUUAAAUUGUGAGAUAGAAAGAAUUCAGCCUAAUAAUUUCUUGCCAAGCCCUGUGUUAGGAACUUAGAGAUUGAAAAAGAUGCAGUCCCCAUCCUCAAGGUAGAGAUGAACAUGCAGUUUACAGCGCAAGUCAGUGAGGCCCAUCAUAAAGGCAUGCAUAGGAAACAGGGGCAUCCCUGAGGAGGCAGCAGGGGAAGAAUUCACAAAGGUACAAUAUCUGAGUUGGUACACAAUCAGUUCAUGUUUACUGAUGGAUAAAUAUCUUGCAUGGCCUUCUGCAAAAACCUGGGCUGACAUCUUUUCCUCCAGUGACUGCCUUCCUCCCCAGCACAGUGGAAUAUCUGCCAUUCACUUACAGGAUUGGUCACCUGCUGUCUUCUUUCCCUUGCAGUGACACAGAAAACAUUGUUUGCCUUUCCCAUAUUUUACAAGUCACAGCUCAUAUAGAACUUGAAUCUCCCAAACUCACUUCAUUGAGUUUGCCUUUUUACUUGCAUUCAGACCUCAUCACAUUCCACUCUCUCCACCUUUGGGGUAUGUCCAUUUACAAUCCUGAUAGACUGUGUAGAGAUCACACAUUUCUCUUCAGACACGUUCUCCUUCUAUGCCACCUCAAAAUUACUUUCUUUUUGAGUCAGCUUAGACUCAAGCAGUCCAAAACCCAGAAGGGGUCAUUAGCAUGGACAGAGAGAGCCGAGGAGAAGCCCUCUAUUUCUGGCUUUAGAAAAAGAAAGUCAUCUCUUAACACUCAGAAAGAGUGGAAGGAAGCC